AACCAGACACAGCCCACAAACUAAAUCUCACAAAACUAUCCUAAUUAAACUAAACCAAAACAUUUAUAAUAAUAAAAGUAUAGGUGAUAGAAAUUAUAUACGGCGCUAUAGAGAAAGUACCGCAAGGGAAAAAUGAAAGAGGACUAUAAGUAAAAAAUAGCAAAGCUUAACUCUUGUACCUUUUGCAUAAUGAUUCAACUAGAAAAUAUUAGCGAAAAGAAUUAUAGUUAAGUAACCCGAAACCAGACGAGCUACCUACUAGCAGCUUAAUAGAGCAAACUCAUCUAUGUUGCAAAAUAGUGAGAUGACUGUUAGGUAGAGGCAAUAAACCUACCGAGCCUGGUGAUAGCUGGUUAUCCAGAACAGAAUUUUAGUUCUAACUUAAACCUACCAAAAACAGACAAAUUAAAAUGUAGACUUAAGCAAUAGUCUAAAAGGGUACAGCCUUUCAGACGCGGGAUACAACCCCUAUUAGAGAGUNAAAAAAAAAAUAAAUCACAAUAGUUGGCCUAAAAGCAGCCACCAAACAAGACAGCGUUCAAGCUCAACAGUAUAUAAAACCAAUUCUACUUGUAAUAAUUAAUGCUCCUAAAUGCAAAACUGGAUUGCUCUAUUAUUAAAUAGAAGUAAUAAUGUUGAUAUGAGUAACAAGAAGCAUUUCUCCUUGCACACGUGUAUAUCAGAGCGAAUAAUUCACUGAUAGUUAUCGAAACAAAUAUGCCUAUUAACUUAAGCCUUUAUUAUAAAUCGUUAGCCCAACACAGGAGUGCGCCUAAGGAAAGAUUAAAAAAAGUAAAAGGAACUCGGCAAACACAAACCCCGCCUGUUUACCAAAAACAUCACCUCUAGCAUAAAAAGUAUUAGAGGCACUGCCUGCCCAGUGACUCUAGUUAAACGGCCGCGGUAUCCUGACCGUGCAAAGGUAGCAUAAUCAUUUGUUCUCUAAAUAGGGACUUGUAUGAAUGGCCUCACGAGGGUUUAACUGUCUCUUACUUUUAAUCAGUGAAAUUGACACUCCCGUGAAGAGGCGGGAAUUAAAAAAUAAGACGAGAAGACCCUAUGGAGCUUCAAUUAAUUAACUUAUAAGUUAUAAUACUAAUCUAAAAGAGACAAAUCAAACUUGACUGAGUUAACAAUUUGGGUUGGGGCGACCUCGGAAUAAAAAUCAACCUCCGAGACAGAUCUACUAAGACCUACAAGUCAAAGUUAUCUUACCACAUAUUGAUCCGCCAAUGACGAUCAACGAAACAAGUUACCCUAGGGAUAACAGCGCAAUCCUAUUUAAGAGUCCAUAUCGACAAUUAGGGUUUACGACCUCGAUGUUGGAUCAGGACAUCCCAAUGGUGCAGCAGCUAUUAAUGUGUUCGUUUGUUCAACGAUUAAAGUCCUACGUGAUCUGAGUUCAGACCGGAGCAAUCCAGGUCGGUUUCUAUCUAUUUAUAAGUCCCUCCUAGUACGAAAGGACAAGAGAGACAGGGCCCACUUAAAAUAAGCGCCCUAAUGACAAUGGAUGAACUAAUCUUAAUCCUAUAUACUCACAAACUGCCCAAGAAAUAGGGCCUA
rnacentral:rRNA from 1 species